GGUGGCAUAGCCAAGUGGUAAGGCAAGGGUCUGCAUAACCUUUACCCCGGUUCGAAAUCGGGUAACGCCU
rnacentral:tRNA from 1 species